rnacentral:ncRNA from 1 species
UUUCAAGGCGGGGUGCGAUUCCCCACCGGCGGUGAUUGCUACAGAUCAGUAUCUGCACGCAUAAGCCCGCUACCCGCAUCUUUGCGGCUGACCCGGUGCGAUUCCGGGGCCGACGGUACAGUCCGGAUGGAAGAAA